GGAAUUCAGAUUAGCCUGUGCACUCCCACACCCGCCAGCUGGGGGCAGGCAGGAGAGUUUCUCACUCUGAUCUUCAUUCCCGGCCAUGAACAUAUGGAUAUCCCAGUCCCAAGCCAUGUUGCGCCAAUCUCUCCCACCCUCUCUCUCAACUAAUCUACCUCACAGGGUUGUUGUGAACAAAAAAUAAGAGUGAGAGCCACAUAUGUUGUUCUGAGCUAGAAAGAAAUCUCAUAAUAAAGAAAAAUUGUAUUGUGCAUUAAGUGUACCAUCACAAACUUAGCUGACACAUGGAGAGGAAUGUUGUGUCAGAGUUCUGAAGUGGUAAAAUGGAUUGCAAGUAGAGGGUUGUCUUUUGGGAAUGCUCCCUUAUGUUUAAAAACUCCCUGCAAGUAGAAAACCAGCAUAAUGAGGGGAUAGAACCUUCCUUUGGCUUUCUAAAUUUAGGGAAGGUCUUACGCAAAGCAUCAUUCAUAAAAGCAUCAUAAUAAACAAUCCAUUUGCCAUUCUGAAA